rnacentral:rRNA from 1 species
GACGUAGGGCGCGAGCGUUGUCCGGAUUUAUUGGGCGUAAAGAGCUCGUAGGCGGCUCGUUGCGUCAACCGUGAAAACCCGGGGCUUAACUUCGGGCUUGCGGUUGAUACGGGCGGGCUGGAGUUCGGUAGGGGAGACUGGAAUUCCUGGUGUAGAGGUGAAAUUCGUAGAUAUCGAGAGGAACACCGGUGGCGAAGGCGGCCUUCUGGACAGUGACUGACGCUGAGACGCGAAAGCGUGGGGAGCAAACAGG